GUAUUAACGGAGGAGCUUCAAAAGUUGUUCAAGUUCGGCUCAUUUUUAUUAGACCGAGCCCGAGCCCGAGCCCAAUUUGCACCUAAGGAUAUAGCGGGUCUGGCGGCUAACUUUCCCGGCGUUCCAUCUUCCCCGUUUCAUUUCUAAGGUUUUCAGCAAUGAAACGCCACCCGUUUCGCAGUCGACGACUCACAGCACAAGCCGAAGCGCAGGAUAUGAAGCGAAAUAUUUGAUUACUUGCAGUCAACUGAGUUCCAGAGUCCCGCGCGCAACCUUGUGGAAUUUCAUAGUAGUAUCAACUGUCUUGGGUUCAGGGAGUGAAUGUAUUUAGGAAACCCUUUUUCCUUCUUUUUUCUUUUUUGGUUUCUUGUGGAUGAAAUGGAGCAUACACGUGCACGGAGAGGCCACAUUUGAAGCGUUGCUACUCAUGGCUUCUGGUUUGAUCCAUUUAAUGUAGAACUUUGCAACAAUCUUCCUCGGGAUAACGUUUCUUCCAGAGUUCCAGGCCAGAUCUGCAGCAUUUAGGAAACUCAAUGUCUCUAAAUCUUCGAGCAAUAGCAAUACCAGCAAGUAUGUGAAGAGAAAUACUUGUCCUGGAAAAUUUGAAGAAGAUUUCGAUAUUGAGGCUGAGGAAUAUAUCAAACAAAAGCUUAAGCGCAUUAUUAUGGAUGGCGAUGUUGAACAAAAGGAUAAUGCUAGCAAGCAAGAAGAAGAAGAAGUCUAUGUAGAUGCCAAAGCAGAGGAAUUCAUCAAGCAAAAGAAGUCAGAACUCAGCAAGGUCUACAUGAAUGUUGGGUAAAUACUAAAUACCUGCACAUUUUUAAGCUUUCACCUGCUUUUUCUGUUCAUAACUGGAGAGGAAUGUGCCUGGUUGCAAAUAUAUGAUUUCCGUAUUAUUAUAUGUUCCCCCUUUGAACCAAAUUAUAAAGGAGAAAUAAUACUACAUUACUACUUA